rnacentral:ribozyme from 1 species
ACAUCUAAGGAAGAAACAUGCUAGAAGAAAAAGAAAAAAAUCAAUAAAGGAAAAGGAUAUGACACGUACGCAUCAGUUUUAGUGAUUUCAAUCGUCUCUUUGUCCCCCGUCCCCAAUAUCAACAAUACAUUUCGUUUCGGAUCCCCCCCCCCUCGCCUUUUUCAUGGUUUAUAACCCGCAGUCAUACGAAUGUGGGGGGGGCGGGUGUUGAAAUAGGAACAGAAGAAUUGGAGAUCUGUUCAUAGAUUCAUGUUGGUUGUUUAAGAAGAUGUUUGUCGGCGUGCAAGACAAAACAGAAUAGAACUGUUCUAAA